rnacentral:lncRNA from 1 species
UUUACCAGCCUAGUAGUCAGCUGUUUGGUGUUGAUAUGAAUGGUCAUUUUUUUAUAAAAGAGGGACGAAAGAUACCAAAGGGACAGUCAAACUCAUAAAUCCAAAAUAAACUGACAACGCCAUGGCUGAAAAUGAAAAAGACAAACAGACAAACAAUAGUACACAUAAUACAACAUAGAAAACUAAAGAAUAAACAACAAGAACCCCA